ACGCAAUAAGCGAAUUAGAUUCGCAUUCAAUUUGAAUUCAAUUUGAAUUAAAUGUACGUGUGAACAAGGGAUAAAAUACACAAUAUCAAAAUAACCACAUAUACCAAUUUGUUGUACUAAUUACACAAUAGUUUACCUGACAUUAAAACCAUCAUUUAUUUAUAUCUGCAAAGCCUUGCAAACACAAAAAUUUAAUUUUUCCUCAAUUGAUUAUAAUUAAUACCCACAAAAAUAAAUGAUCCACAUUUAUAUAUAACAUACAAUUCAAUGGCACAAGACAAUGCUGGCAAGAAAAUUUUGAAGAAAAAAUAAUCUUUUUAUACAUGAAUACUGUAUAUUGAUUAUUGUAAUGGAGUAUGUCUAAUUUCACUACUUUCACGAAACAAAUAGCCAAAAUUGGCAAUCAUAAAACAUUCCUUGCAUCAUGAUAAA
rnacentral:lncRNA from 1 species